UACGAAGGGGGCUAGCGUUGCUCGGAAUCACUGGGCGUAAAGGGUGCGUAGGCGGGUCUUUAAGUCAGGCGUGAAAGCCCCGGGCUCAACCUGGGAACCGCGCUUGAGACUGGAGAACUAGAGUUCGGGAGAGGAUGGUGGAAUUCCCAGUGUAGCGGUGGAAUGCGCAGAUAUCAGGAGGAACACCUAUAGCGAAGGCAGCUCGCUGGGACGACACUGACGCUGAGACGCGAAAGCGUGGGGAGCAAACAGG
rnacentral:rRNA from 1 species